UGCCAGCAGCCGCGGUAAUACGGAGGGAGCUAGCGUUGUUCGGAAUUACUGGGCGUAAAGCGCGCGUAGGCGGCUUUGCAAGUAGAGGGUGAAAUCCCGGGGCUUAACCCGGGAAGUGCAUCCGAUACUAUUUGGCUUGAGUACAGGAGAGGGUAGUGGAAUUUCUGGUGUAGUGGUGAAAUACGUAGAUAUCAGAAGGAACAUCGGUGGCGAAGGCGGCUGCCUGGCCAAAGACUGACGCUCAUGUGCGAAAGUGUGGGUAGCGAACAGGAUUAGAUA
rnacentral:rRNA from 1 species